GAUGAACGCUAGCGAUAGGCUUAACACAUGCAAGUCGAGGGGCAGCAUGGUCUUAGCUUGCUAAGACUGAUGGCGACCGGCGCACGGGUGCGUAACGCGUAUGCAACUUGCCUCACAGAGGGGGAUAACCCGUCGAAAGACGGACUAAUACCGCGUACACUCCAUCUUGGGCAUCCAAGGUAGAGGAAAUGAAAUUCGCUGUGAGAUAGGCAUGCGUCCCAUUAGCUAGUUGGUGAGGUAACGGCUCACCAAGGCGACGAUGGGUAGGGGAACUGAGAGGUUGAACCCCCACACUGGCACUGAGACACGGACCAGACUCCUACGGGAGGCAGCAGUGAGGAAUAUUGGUCAAUGGGCGAGAGCCUGAACCAGCCAAGUCGCGUGAAGGAUGACUGUCUUAUGGAUUGUAAACUUCUUUUAUACGGGAAUAACAAGAGUCACGUGUGACUCCCUGCAUGUACCGUAUGAAUAAGCAUCGGCUAACUCCGUG
rnacentral:rRNA from 1 species